rnacentral:rRNA from 1 species
GAUGAACGCUGACAGAAUGCUUAACACAUGCAAGUCAACUGUGGCGGACGGGUGAGUAACGCGUAAAGAACUUGCCUCCCGGUUAGGGACAACAUUUGGAAACGAAAUCUAAUACCUGAUACUGUGAGAGAGCUUUGCGUCCCAUUAGCUAGUUGGAGAGGUACCGGCUCCCCAAGGCGAUGAUGGGUAGCCGGACUGAGAGGGUGAUCGGGCACAAGGGGACUGAGACACGGCCCGUACGCCUACGGGAGGCAGCAGUGGGGAAUAUAUGACAAUGGACCAAAGUCUGAUCCAGCAAUUCUGUGUGCACAAUGAAUUUUUCGGAAUGUAAAGUGCUUUCAGUUGGGAAGCGGUACCAACAGAAGAAGCGACGGCUAAAUACGUGCCAGCCGCCGCGGUAAUUC